UACAGAGGUCUCAAGCGUUGUUCGGAUUCAUUGGGCGUAAAGGGCGCGUAGGUGGUUCUGUAUGUCUACCGUGAAAGCGUACGGCUCAACCGUAUUUUGUCGGUGGAAACUGCAGGACUUGAGGCUGGGAGGGGCUGGUGGAAUUCCCCGUGUAGCGGUGAAAUGCGUAGAGAUGGGGGAGAACACUCGUGGCGAAGGCGGCCAGCUAGACCAGUUCUGACACUGAGGCGCGACAGCGUGGGGAGCAAACAGG
rnacentral:rRNA from 1 species